UAAAACGUAGGUCCCGAGCGUUAUCCGGAUUUACUGGGCGUAAAGCGUGUUCAGGCGGUCUAGCAAGUCGGGCAUGAAAUCUCUCGGCUCAACCGGGAGGGGUUGUCCGAUACUGCUGGGCUUGAGGGCAGCAGAGGGUGGUGGAAUUCCGGGUGUAGUGGUGAAAUGCGUAGAUAUCCGGAGGAACACCAGUGGCGAAGGCGGCCACCUGGGCUGUACCUGACGCUCCAACACGAAAGCUAGGGGAGCGAACGGGAUUAGAAACCCCGGUAGUCCUAGCCGUAAACGAUGUUGACUAGGUGUCGACGGUCUAAACCCCGCCGGUGCCGGAGCUAACGCACGAAGUCAACCGCCUGGGGACUACGGCCGCAAGGUUA
rnacentral:rRNA from 1 species